rnacentral:lncRNA from 10 species
CCGGCCGCAGAGGCUGCACAAGGCGCGGUUCUCAGCCAGCAGCGUCUGCCACAGCAGGCUGCCUCUAAAAUCAUAACACGUAAAAGUUCUAAGUGAUGUUUGUCUGUCUCAGAAGUGCAAAUGUGACAUUUGCCCCUGGCUGCAGUCAUGGUGUGGGUGAAAAGAGCAGAGGGGCAUCCAAGAGUGACAAGAAUUGCUUUCUGUCAUCAUCAAGGCUGCGUCAGCUCACGCUGUGGUCAGCUGGCACCAGUUUGAUCGCUCCCAUUUCAUAGAUCUUUACAAUGUCACACUGUUGCUCCAGCUUAUUUAGAAAUCCUGGAAAGAGGGGAAGUGGAGAUUGCAGGGCAGCCUCAGCCCUCAGAAAAGUUUCUCUGCUUUCUCAUGUGUCCCAGCUGACAGGAUGCCAGGCCAGCAAGCUAAUGACCAACAGCUGAGCGCCAUGGCAAAGAACGAUAUAAAGACAAUCAUCUGGCUUCUGCUACUUUACAAACAAAAGGCAAGAGAUAGCAUACUGGAGAGAAAACAAAAUAAAAACUUUUAAUAAUGAUAGUGUCCCAUGUAUCAAUCUCCCAUUGUAUUUCCACAUUGCACAGUUAAUAUCAGAGGCCACCUCCACUGACUCAGACUUCCAUAAACAAGACACUUUGGACACAAAGGAGUUUCUCGUUCUGUUUCUGUAUCUGUCGCCUCUAAAAAAUACAGUGAUCCAAAGUUCAUCACUAAAAGAUGUGGGGAAAAAGUGGUGAUCAAAACUUUGCAAUACAAUAAUGGACCUUUUUAAAUCUAAAAAUGUGAAAAUCAAUGCAUCAAUUUUCAUACUUUCUCUUUUAAAUUUUCUUUCUUUUGAUCCCCAAUAUAUUAUCAGUAUAAUCAAAUGACAUUAGUAUUAACCAACAUCAGCAGUCUGUAUUCUGUAAGGAAUUGAGCUCAUACAAUGAAUCACCUCGAGUAUUUUUUAAACACAAAAUUACAACAAUUUAUAAAUGUUAAUCUUUAAAAUGCACUUGAGAAUGAUUGUCCCAAAGGUUAAGUGGAAGCUUUUUCAAAAAACAGAUCACAAGGAACUAUGCCAACCCUUUCCUAAAAAUUUCUAUAAAAUUCAAAGGAAGAAAUAAACAGGAAAUCUAGUUUACAAAUGAAAUUUAAUAUAGUAGUCGUAUAUUUAUAGGCCAAGAGCUCAUACGUAAAAUGUGUGAAGGAACACAAUGGUCAGAUAUUGAGAUGCUGGCAACUGCUCAUCUGCCAAUGCUGAAUUUGAUAAUUCUCAGAUCCUCACACACAUAAAACAACUUGC